UCUCCGUAGGUGAACCUGCGGAGGGAUCAUUACCGAGUGAGGGUCCUUGUGGCCCGACCUCCAACCCCAUGUGAACCGAAACCUGUUGCUUCGGGGGCGACCCUGCCUUUGUGCGAGGCGCCCCCGGAGGCUCAUCAAACACUGCAUCUUUGCGUCGGAGUCUUAAUGAAUUUAAACAAAACUUUUAACAACGGAUCUCUUGGUUCUGGCAUCGAUGAAGAACGCAGC
rnacentral:misc_RNA from 1 species